rnacentral:rRNA from 1 species
GACGUAGGGCGCGAGCGUUGUCCGGAUUUAUUGGGCGUAAAGAGCUCGUAGGCGGCUUGUCGCGUCGUCCGUGAAAACUCACAGCUCAACUGUGAGCUUGCGGUCGAUACGGGCAGGCUAGAGUUCGGUAGGGGAGACUGGAAUUCCUGGUGUAGCGGUGAAAUGCGCAGAUAUCAGGAGGAACACCGGUGGCGAAGGCGGGUCUCUGGGCCGAUACCGACGCUGAGGAGCGAAAGCGUGGGGAGCGAACAGG